UGGCGGCGUGNCUAACACAUGCAAGUUGAGCGCUUGAGGGGGGCGACCCCCAAGAGAGCAGCGAACGGGUGAGUAACGCGUGGGUGAUCUUCCUUCGAGUGGGGAACAACACCGGGAAACUGGUGCUAAUUCCGCAUAAUACCCUGGGGCUACGAGCCUCAGGAUCAAAGCCGGGGACCGCAAGGCCUGGCGCUUGAAGAUGAGCCCGCGUCCGAUUAGCUAGUUGGCGGGGUAAUGGCCCACCAAGGCUUCGAUUGGUAGCCGGCCUGAGAGGGCGGACGGCCACACUGGAGCUGAGACACGGUCCAGACUCCUACGGGAGGCAGCAGUGGGGAAUUUUUCGCAAUGGGCGCAAGCCUGACGAAGCAACGCCGCGUGGAGGAUGAAGGUCUUCGGAUUGUAAACUCC
rnacentral:rRNA from 1 species